rnacentral:rRNA from 1 species
CCUACGGGAGGCAGCAGUGGGGAAUAUUGGACAAUGGGGGGAACCCUGAUCCAGCCAUGCCGCGUGUGUGAAGAAGGCCCUCGGGUUGUAAAGCACUUUCAGUGAGGAAGGACGCCUGGUGGUUAAUACCCAUCAGGAAAGACAUCACUCACAGAAGAAGCACCGGCUAACUCCGUGCCAGCAGCCGCGGUAAUACGGAGGGUGCGAGCGUUAAUCGGAAUUACUGGGCGUAAAGCGCGCGUAGGUGGCUUGAUAAGCCGGUUGUGAAAGCCCCGGGCUCAACCUGGGAACGGCAUCCGGAACUGUCAAGCUAGAGUGCAGGAGAGGAAGGUAGAAUUCCCGGUGUAGCGGUGAAAUGCGUAGAGAUCGGGAGGAAUACCAGUGGCGAAGGCGGCCUUCUGGACUGACACUGACACUGAGGUGCGAAAGCGUGGGUAGCAAACAGGAUUAGAUACCCCGGUAGUC